rnacentral:rRNA from 1 species
UACGUAGGUGGCAAGCGUUGUCCGGAUUUAUUGGGCGUAAAGCGAGCGCAGGCGGUUCCUUAAGUCUGAUGUGAAAGCCCACGGCUCAACCGUGGAAGGUCAUUGGAAACUGGUCGACUUGAGUGCAGAAGAGGGAAGUGGAAUUCCAUGUGUAGCGGUGAAAUGCGUAGAUAUAUGGAGGAACACCAGUGGCGAAGGCGGCUUCCUGGUCUGUAACUGACACUGAGGCACGAAAGCGUGGGGAGCAAACAGGAUUAGAUACCCCU